UUUUUUUUUUUUUUUUUUUUUUUUUCUAAUGACUCAACAUGAGAAAACUCAUCUUUAAAA
rnacentral:ribozyme from 1 species